rnacentral:rRNA from 1 species
AUUGAACGCUGGCGGCAGGCCUAACACAUGCAAGUCGAGCGGAUGAAGGGAGCUUGCUCCUGGAUUCAGCGGCGGACGGGUGAGUAAUGCCUAGGAAUCUGCCUGGUAGUGGGGGAUAACGUCCGGAAACGGGCGCUAAUACCGCAUACGUCCUGAGGGUGAAAGUGGGGGAUCUUCGGACCUCACGCUAUCAGAUGAGCCUAGGUCGGAUUAGCUAGUUGGUGGGGUAAAGGCCUACCAAGGCGACGAUCCGUAACUGGUCUGAGAGGAUGAUCAGUCACACUGGAAGUGAGACACGGUCCAGACUCCUACGGGAGGCAGCAGUGGGGAAUAUUGGACAAUGGGCGAAAGCCUGAUCCAGCCAUGCCGCGUGUGUGAAGAAGGUCUUCGGAUUGGAAAGCACUUUAAGUUGGGAGGAAGGGCAGUAAGUUAAUACCUUGCUGUUUUGACGUUACCAACAGAAUAAGCACCGGCUAACUUCGUG